CCUCCGUAGCCGACGUCUUCCGGCGCUGACCCGGCGCUCGGCGCUCGGGGAGGGAUUUUCUAGUGUUUGGAAUUUCAGAGCGUGGAAGGAGGUACCGGCCCUUGAGGCCUCUAACCCUGGCUCCUGCAACGGGAGUACUUGACAAGAAGGGAGAUUGGCGUCGAUGUCAGCUAUGAAAGAAUGCAGCAGAAGUGGCUGUUGCCAA